rnacentral:lncRNA from 1 species
CCUUCUUCCAGAGAUACUCUUUUGUCUCUUGUCUUUUAUUCCCGUGUUCAUCCCCCUUUGUUCAGUCCACCAGGGAUCAUGGCACGUUACAUAGUGGUGCCCCGAACAGCGACAGAAUCAGGGGCUCUACAAGUGGCACUCAAACAGGCGACAGUCUGAACACGGGACUAUGAGGAUGUGAAUGAAGAAGAUCUCCUGGAAUAGAGGAACUGAAAUUGACAACGCAAAUGGGGACCCUGGGAUGAGUCAGCUGGCAGCGCACAUGAGGUCAGCGCCUAAAGAGUCUGUAAAAUCGGAUGGACCGCCAAUCGGAGAAUGAGAGCUGCCCAGCCUGGUCUUACAUUCUUUCAAUUAAUUCAUAAACAGGGGGAUAUGCAGGGAGCCGAAGGCCCAUGGGACGUGACCAACUCAGCAUUCCACUGGAGGCUAUAUGAUCAAACAGCAAACUGUUUAUCAUGAAUACAGGAUGUGAGCAAACUCACGACUGUGCCUGCCGCCAGAAGGUUUGCUGAGGGCAAUCGCUUCCUGACGCCAAGCUCUUUGAAGUUAUCUACUGGAACAUCUAGAGAAUGCAGUCUUGCAAGCCUACUCUGGACCAACCAACUGACCUCUUCUUCCACCCCCCUUCUCACUAUCGCUUUUCUCUAAUAAAUACAGAGGGCCGUGUAAAGCUCAGGGCCUUGUCCACUAGAGGCAAGGUGCCCCCGGACCCCUUCUUCCAAAUAUACUCUUUUGUCUCUUGUCUUUUAUUCCUGCAUUCACCCCCCUUUGUUCAGUCCACCAGGGAUCAUGGCAGGUUACAUAGUGGCGC